CGUUUGGUUGCUUUGGGGGAAGAGGAGGAGAAUUUGUCCUCUUCUC
rnacentral:ribozyme from 1 species